rnacentral:rRNA from 1 species
ACUUGGAUAACUGUGGUAAUUCUAGAGCUAAUACAUGCAAACCAGAGUUCCAACCAGAGAUGGGAGGAACGCUUUUAUUAGAUCAAAACCAAUCAGUUGCGUUUGUUAUUACAUUCGUCCACCGUUUACUUUGAUGACUCUGAAAAACUUUGAACUGAUCGCACGGUCCUAGCACCGGCGACAAGUAUUUUAAAUGUCUGCCUUAUCAACUGUUGAUGGUAGGUUCUGCGCCUACUAUGGUUGAAACGGGUAACGAGAAAUCAGGAUUCGAUUCCGGAGGGAGGGCCUAAGAAACGGCUACCACAUCAAAGGAAGGCAGCAGGCGCACAAAUUACCCACUCCCGGCACGGGGAGGUACUGACGAAAAAUUAUCGAUACGGGACUCAUCCGAGGCCCCGAAAUCGAAAUGAGUACACUUUAAAUCCUUUAACAAGGAUCCAUUGGAGAGCAAGUCUUGUAGUUGAGUCUAUGUAUCACACUGUCGGUUCACCGCUCGCGGUGUUUACUAGCAUGAUGUUGGACGUCCUACCGAAGGGCUUAGCUCUUCGGGGCGGUCCAACUAAUAUCUCAUCGCGGUGCUCUUCAUUAUGUGUCGAGAUGGGUCGGAUGGUUUACUUUGAACAAAUUAGAGUGCCUAAAGCAGGGUAGCCUCGCCUGAACACUGUGUGCAUGGAAUAAUGGAAUAGGACCUCAAUUCUAUUUUUUUUGUUUUUGGAACUCCGAGGUAAUGAUUAAUAGGGACAGAUUGAGGCAUUCGUAUUUCGACGUUAGAGAUGAAAUUCUUGGAUCGUCGCAAGACGGACAGCAGCGAAAGCAUUUGCCAAAAACUUUUACAUUAAUCAAGAACGAAAUUUUGAGGUUAGAAGACGAUUAGAUAGCGCUCUAGUUCUAACUAUAAACGAUGCAAAAAAGCGAUCCGCCGAAGUUCAUCCGAUCAGUCGACGGGCAGCUUCCGGGAAACCAUAGCUUUUGGGUUCUGGAAGAAGUAUGGCUGCAAAGCUGAAACUUAAAGAAAUUGACGGAAGAGCACCACUAGGAGUGAAGCCUGCGGCUACAUUUAACUUAACACUGGUAACCUCAACAGGCCUGGACACUGGAAGGAUUGACAGAUUGAUAGCUUUUUCUUGAUUCGCGGGGUGGUUGUGCAUGGCCGUUCUUAGUUAGUGGAGCGUUUUAUCUGGUAAAUUUCGAUAACGAACGAGACUCUAUCCUGCUAAAUAGGCGUACAUUCUGGUAUCUCGAAGGUCCUUAGCUUCGGGGGAGUGGUUUUUACUACCAACGUACCAACAAAUCUUCUUAGAGGGACAGGCAGCUUUAAGCUGCACGAGAUUUAGCAAUAACAGGUCUGUGAUGCCCUUAGAUGUUCUGGGCCGCACGCGCGCUACACUGAAGGAAUUAACGUGUUUUCCCUAGCCGAAAGGCCCGGGUAACCCGCUGAGCCUCCUUCGUGCUAGGGAUUUGGGCUUGCAAUUAUUUCCCAUGAACGAGGAGUUCCCAGUAAGUGCGAGUCAUAAGCUCGCGUUGAUUACGUCCCUGUCCUUUGUACACACCGCCCGUCGCUUCUACCGAUUGAAUAGUUUAGUGAGGUCUUUGGACUGGGGCGCGGAAAGUGGCUUGGUACUGCCGAUGUUGCCGGGAAGGUGACCAAACUUGAUCAUUUAGAACAAGUAAAAGUCGUAACAAGUUUUCUGUAGGUAAACCUGCGGAAG